rnacentral:rRNA from 1 species
UACAGAGGGUGCGAGCGUUAAUCGGAAUUACUGGGCGUAAAGCGCGCGUAGAUGGUUUGUUAAGUUGGAUGUGAAAUCCCCGGGCUCAACCUGGGAACUGCAUCCAAAACUGGCAAGCUAGAGUAUGGUAGAGGGUGGUGGAAGUUUCCUGUUGAGCGGUGAAAUGCGUAGAUAUAGGAAGGAACACCAGUGGCGAAGGCGACCACCUGGACUGAUACUGACACUGAGGUGCGAAAGCGUGGGGAGCAAACAGG